CACCGAGAGGUGCAGAGGUUAGCAUGUCCGCCUAUGAUGCCGAACACCUGGGUUCAAAUCCCGGCGUGA
rfam:Stomoxys calcitrans breed 8C7A2A5H3J4 unplaced genomic scaffold Scaffold154, whole genome shotgun sequence.